AUACGGAGGGCGCAAGCGUUGCCCGGAAUCACUGGGUGUAAAGGGUGCGUAGGCGGGGCUGUAAGUCAGAGGUGAAAGCCCUCGGCCCAACCGGGGAAUUGCCUCUGAUACUGCAGCUCUUGAGUCCCGGAGAGGCCGCUGGAAUUCCUGGUGUAGCGGUGAAAUGCGUAGAUAUCAGGAGGAACACCGGAGGCGAAGGCGGGCGGCUGGACGGGGACUGACGCUGAGGCACGAAAGCGUGGGGAGCAAACAGGAUUAGAAACCCUAGUAGUCC
rnacentral:rRNA from 1 species